AGAGUUUGAUCCUGGCUCAGGAUGAACGCUGGCGGCGUGCCUAACACAUGCAAGUCGAACGGGGUAUAUAAGCGGAAGUUUACGGAUGGAAGGUUAUAUACUUAGUGGCGGACGGGUGAGUAACGCGUGGGCAACCUGCCCCGUGCCGGGGGAUACCGCCUGGAAACAGGCGCUAAUACCGCAUAAGCGCAUACAGCCGCAUGGGUGUAUGCGGAAAGCUCCGGCGGCACGGGAUGGGCCCGCGCCCGAUUAGCCAGUUGGCGGGGUAACGGCCCACCAAAGCGACGAUCGGUAGCCGGCCUGAGAGGGCGGACGGCCACAUUGGGACUGAGACACGGCCCAAACUCCUACGGGAGGCAGCAGUGGGGAAUAUUGCACAAUGGGGGAAACCCUGAUGCAGCAACGCCGCGUGGGUGAAGGAGCGUUUCGGCGCGUAAAGCCCUGUCAGCGGGGAAGAAGAAAGACGGUACCCGACCAAGAAGCCCCGGCUAACUACGUGCCAGCAGCCGCGGUAAUACGUAGGGGGCGAGCGUUAUCCGGAAUUACUGGGUGUAAAGGGAGCGUAGACGGCGAGGUAAGCCUGAAGUGGAAGCCCGCGGCCCAACCGCGGAACUGCUUUGGGAACUGUUUUGCUGGAGUAUGGGAGGGGUAAGCGGAAUUCCUGGUGUAGCGGUGAAAUGCGUAGAUAUCAGGAGGAACACCGGUGGCGAAGGCGGCUUACUGGACCAUAACUGACGUUGAGGCUCGAAAGCGUGGGGAGCGAACAGGAUUAGAUACCCUGGUAGUCCACGCCGUAAACGAUGAUUACCAGGUGUCGGGUGUCAAAGGACGGCCGGUGCCGCAGCGAACGCAGUAAGUAAUCCACCUGGGGAGUACGUUCGCAAGAAUGAAACUCGAAGGAAUUGACGGGGACCCGCACAAGCGGUGGAGCAUGUGGUUUAAUUCGAAGCAACGCGAAGAACCUUACCAAGUCUUGACAUCCCGGUGACGCAUGUAGAAAUAUAUGUUUUCUUCGGAACACUGGAGACAGGUGGUGCAUGGUUGUCGUCAGCUCGUGUCGUGAGAUGUUGGGUUAAGUCCCGCAACGAGCGCAACCCUUAUUCUUAGUAGCCAGCAGGUAAAGCUGGGCACUCUAGGGAGACUGCCAGGGAUAACCUGGAGGAAGGUGGGGAUGACGUCAAAUCAUCAUGCCCCUUAUGAUUUGGGCUACACACGUGCUACAAUGGCGUAAACAAAGGGAGGCGAAGGAGCGAUCUGGAGCGAACCCCAAAAAUAACGUCUCAGUUCGGAUUGCAGGCUGCAACCCGCCUGCAUGAAGCCGGAAUCGCUAGUAAUCGCAGAUCAGAAUGCUGCGGUGAAUACGUUCCCGGGUCUUGCACUCACCGCCCGUCA
rnacentral:rRNA from 1 species